UGGGCUGGGUAAAAUUCUUCUCUUCUUCACCCUUUAAUUUUAGCCCAUCCGAUCCUUUAUUUUAGGUCCUGGAAUCGUGAGAACUCCCAGUCCCUUGGCACAUCCCUCUGAAUCACUGACGUUCGGUGGCCACCUCCACCCAUGCCUGUCCCCUGCCUGCUCCCUCGCCGGGUGUCAGUUCUCGAGCCUACGUGCUGAGAAGAAAAGUUAAAAAGUGUCCCCAGCCAACAUGGAAGGAGCAGAGGAUGGAUGGCCCCAGGUACCCCCUGUGAUACCAGAAGUGCUCGUGGGAGCAUUUCACACAUCUCUGACCUGCAGAGGAUGAAGGACUCUUCCCCAUACUCAAGGGUUUCUGAAGCUGAAGGGAGCCUUGUCCACUCCUGCUUACAGCCUGGGUGUGCGUCUCCUUGCUGCUGGAUCCCCUCCAGCAUCUGUUCCUCCUGAAUGCUCCUUCUAUUGGAGCAUUGGUACCCUUGUGCUGGGUACCAUGUUCUUGUACUUCAGGCUCUCA
rnacentral:lncRNA from 1 species